AGAACAGUCAGUGCUCUUAACCACCGAGCCAUCUCUCCAGCCUUUAACUUUACCUUUUCCUCUGCGAGGCUGCUGACUGGGUGAGCACUGCACCUCUGUCUUUGUUUUUGCUUUCUUAUCUUUUCUCUAUUCUAUUGGUUUUGCUCCCCGCUUCUCAAGCCUUGCCCCACCCCCACUCCAAAUCUUGGGCAAUGUCUGUCUUGACAAUGUUCCACCAGAGUCAAGUGCAGCUUCUGUGUAGCCAUUUGCUUUCCCUUUCCUGUUGACUUCUUGCUUUGAUCUCUAUGCUGGCGCCAGGCCAGGCCACAAAGCACCUGUAUGGACUGUCCACCUGUGAUGUCUACAGCUGCCUAACAGCCACACAGCAGCGUUACCAACAUCAGGACCAGUGUCUGUCCUGUAUCCUUCCUAACGCACAGCUCUCCCUCCCUGUACCUUGUUAACUUCCCUUUAACAUACCUCCAGGGCUUCACUGAUGUCUCCUGGAGUCAGGCAGUGGUGUGAUGCGUUUAAAGCCUCCCCCCCUCCCCCACCCCUGAGAAGCUGGAGUGACCUUCACAAGUAAGUAAGAUACAGCAUGCCCAGCUUCUCCUCACUCUGAUUAAGAAUAAAAUCCAUGCUGCUCAGGACCUCCAACCCAAAGCCUCCCCUUUCCUGUCUCAAAGGAUGCUGGGAAGCUGCCCUGAUACCCCAGCUCUUUACCACAGCCGUCUUCACAUCCGAUACCUCUGAGGUGGCCAUUCAUGUAGCAUCUCCCUCAUCAUAGUCCCCAGCGCCAAUCCAGAGAUGUUUGCUUGAUGAUCUCAGAUCGUAGGUUACAUAAUGUCUGGACCACUUCUCAAACAUUACCUGGCAGACCGUUCCCAGCGUAUUCUUGAAUGUAGACAUUAGCCCCAUUUUUUCCACUAGAUGACAUGAGCCGUUAAAUUAGCUUUGUCUGGUGUGAGGCAGCGACUUUUGCUCAUCAUCUUAGCCUGGGAACCACUUCCCGACACCAGUGGAGACCUGGGAUGUGGAACCUGCCAGAGAUUUCAGAGCUCCUCAUGCUGUGCUUCCGUGAUUUCUUUCAGAAGCGUCUGCCCGACCAGCACUAAGGCUAGGCGUAGCAGGGCAGAACAGGGCUCAGGUCACAGGAGCAGAACUGGGAAGCCACCUGUGACUCUAGCCUACCUCCAUAGUUGGGCCCAGAUGAGGUUGACUGUUCCUGGGUGAUUGAACCACCCACCACUCACCCAAUGACCGACAACUUCUCUGUGAUGUCAAACAGCUGAGCAGUCCUGUCUUCACCUGGAGUCUGGCAGACUGGCCUAGAGCCUGAGGUCCAAGAAUGUCAGCCUGCCAGGCAGAGACUGAGGGCUGGGCAGGCACAUGGCACAGUGGGUGGAAGGGAACAAGCUCAGCCAAUAGUCAGCAGUGGGGCUAUGGGAAGUCUGACGGGGACCAGAGGGAGUGCUGUCUUCCUGCCUCUGCUUCUGAAGCACAUGCGCGUGUGUGUGCACACACACGUGUGUUUAUACAAAUGUAUGCGUACAUAGAUAGAGCCAUGCACAUACUUCCAUGCACACCCAGAGGGAAGAUGGGUCGGGGUUUUGGAGGGAUACUAGAUCCUGGAUACACCAUUGACUCAGCAAUCAGGGGCUCCUGGCAGCUGGAACUCCCACGUUCCCUUUCUUGGCCUGCUCUCACACUUUGUCUAUACAGUGGAAGCACAGACACACACACACAAACACACACACAUACUCACACACCAACGUUCCUUGGAGCACUGAAAUGAUUCUCAAAGUAACUACCGCUUGUGGCACAUCUCCAGGAGAUGUUUCUAGCACGUGUCAGACUGUGCCCAAUUGAUUAAGUGAGGCAGAGACACAGGGGACCAUGGUCACAGCUUGAGGGACUCCCAACUACAUUUCUUGUUAGGCUGCUAUCAACAGUCUUUUUUUUUCCCUCUGUGCCUCACUUUCCCCACAUAGAAGGGCUAUCUUGGUUCUGGCUGUGCCCUGGCCUGCAGGCUCUGACUACACUUGGUUCUCUGGCUGACUAAGCUGGACAUGGAGGCCAGGCAGAUGUAGCUGACCAGGGCUGCUGAUACUUCCUAUAUGUCUGAUUCCAAGGCUGAGGCAAGAGGAGGAGAAGGCAGAGGGUGUGGCCAGGCAGCCAAGGAGCUGGGGUUUUCCCACAGAUGGAACAAUGCCUGGCAGAGAUGGCUCAGGGCCCGGCCGUGCCUUGCAGGCCUGGGAGCCACUUCGUGUGAAGCUGCCAGUGAGGAGAAGACUCUCACUGGAACCCAAGUGUUGGCACCAAAGUCCCAAAGUCCCGCCGCGCCUGGAGACAGGUAGGGUGUGGGCUCUGUUAAAGAUGUCGCAAUCCCAGACACAAUUGAGUCUGCGGCUCUCAGCUAGACUGGGCCGGGCAGCAUGGCAGGGCCAGCUGUGCUGCUGUGGAAGGUUUCUGGGCCAGCCACAGGGAGGUGGGAUGUGCCCAGAGUGAUUGAUCUUCAUUUGUCUCUGAAGCAGGACUGGGGGAGGGGCAGGGAGGAGAACAGCUGGACCCCUGGCCAUAGCCCAUCCUCAUGCUGGUGGAUGCCUUAAGUCAUCAAGGCCAUUCCAGGCAGAUGCUCUUCCUACCCAGCAAACAGCAACCUUACCCCACAUCGACAGCUAUGCCGAGCAAAGGGGUUUCUGUGAACCCCAUUAGUUCCACAUGAAACAAGAAGGCCUUGAUCUUCCCACCUCCGGAGACAGCAACUGCAGCAGACAGGUGCUUGCUGGGGGGGGGGGUGGACCUCCCCACUUUACACUCAGACCACCAAGGCGUUCCUUCAAGUGCCUUCGAACAGCUAUCCUUCUCCUUGCCUGGGAAGUAAACUCCAAGAGUGCUUCCAUAAAGCCAAUGGGCUGUGACUGCACACAAGCGAAACUGCCGUGAAAUAUUAUUGCCUUGAAAUACAGCGGCACCGGAUGGCGGCGGCACCGGAUGGCACUGGGUGGUGGGCAGCCAGCUGUAGGAGCAGAUGCUCCGGCAAGGACAGGGACAACCCCCGCUGGGUCGACACUGGGUGCCUUGGCUGCUCCCCUGUCUCCUUCAGUUACUUUUGAUUUGUUUUGAAGUCACAGCUGCUGACAUCCCCAGCUUCUUUCUGGACAACACGGGUGCCGGUGAUGUUGGAAGCUGGAGGUAACUCGAGAAGCCUUCAGGGAUUCCUCCUUCACCCACAGGUGGGUCCUCCCAGCAGACCACGUUCCGUGACGCACACAGGUGAGGAGGAUAUGCUCCCACAUGGGGACUCUGAGCUCACGUGCUGGAUUCUGCAGCUUUUCAAUCUGGAUGUAUGGAACCCAGACUGGCACCUCAUAACUGACACCCUCAGGAUUAUUCUUAGAACACCAGAACACAGAUGAGGAACUCUGGCCCUGUCUGCUGAGGCGCUACACAACUCCACCAGCAUACAAGGAGGUGACUACUCAACACCACAUGUCAUGGGACAGGCCUUUUUGUCACUUCCACAUAGGCCAAGUGUCCCAAGAUCAGACCUGUAUGUGCCCCAGUAAAAGCCUGGGCCCUGGGGCUGUAGGCUCUCUUUAGUCUUCUAAGGGCUGGUUCUGAGGCCCCUACAGAGCAUAGUGGUCUGCAUAGCUAGGCUCAGAACCCCGUCCUACAAGGUCAUACCUAUGAGAUGGGCCACUGCCCACAGCCUGGACCUCGGUCACAGCAGAUGCCAGACAGCUUACAGCUGAUGGGAUGGCCCAGGAAAGCAUGGGCUGAAGCCCACACACUGUCACCUUGCCUGGGCUAUGGCCUGCACAGAGGCUAUCAGGUGACCAAUUCAGUCCAACUAAGCCCUGGGAAAACUAAGUAAGGCCCAAGGGCCAGCCCUGAGGAGAAGGGCCCAGACUAAGUCCGUUCUUCUUGAGAGUCUCACAGUGGGGCCGACUGGAACAUCAGGCUUGCCAGCUCCUCUUCUAGGAUCACAGUGCCAUCCUCCUCGCUAGAGCAGAGAUGCGGAGAGGCAAAGGCAGAGGCUCUGAGACCCACCUGAGCAAGGCAUGCGCUCCGUCCAUCUUCAGAACCCACUGUAGUGGUCCCAGCCCCAUCCUUGGUCCCACAUGGAGGACUGAAGAUGCCAAAGUAGAGCGAAAUCAAAGCUCUCUGGGGUGACCCCGCUGCUCCUCACCAGGAAGGCAUUGAGCAUGAGGUCAUCUCUUCUCUGGCCGUCUCGGUAUAGAUGGCCAGGCUGAGCUGUGAUCAGGACAGGCAUGAAACUCGGGGCCCAGAGCAGUCUUCUCUCAAGUCCCCAGCCAGUAUAUUGCAUCGGGCAUCAGGGGCCAGGCUGAUGAGGAUACUGGGAAUUCACAGAUAUCCAAACCUAGGACCAAGCAAGGCGGAGCUCUUGCUGUGACCCCACAGGAGAGCCAAUGUGCCUUAUGCCUAGAUGUGCGAGCCCUGGUUGGCACUAAUUUAUUGCAAAUUGUUUGGAGAAAGUCAGUUUAAUUAAAAUCUAAAUGAAGCUCCCGGGAGGCCCCUCCCCCGGCCCUGCUGGGCAUAAUGAGGAGGCGCAGGGCGUCUCACCCGUUCAACGGCACUCAUGUUUUUUUGUCAUCACAAAGCCCCGAGAUAAUAAAAUUUAUUCAUAGAAUUCACACUCCAGUGGUGUAAAUAAAUGCUGGGCUGAGGUACACAGAGAAUAGUGCAGAAUCCCAAACCGGAACCAGGCGCCAAUCCUGUGACCAUUUCCUUCCCAUUGUAAAUCAAAGCACGGUGCAGCCUCCCCAAGAUUGAUCCAGAUUUGCCUUAAAUAAUGGUCUGUGGAAGCAUUGCUCUUGGCUUGUUUUGGAGUGGACACUAUUGUCUGAAAACAGGGGUGCGCGGGGUGGGGGGAGGUACUCCUGGAGCCCCAGCCUGUGCCCAGAUCUGGGGAAGACUGAAUAGCGUGCUUCCUAGACAGGGGACCUGCUGCAUGCCACAGCCAAGCCUUUUGCUCUGUGGAGCCUCAGUUCCCACUGCCUGAUCCUGCCAGUCCAUCUCAGUUAAGUCCUCUUUCCUCCAGGGCUCAGCCAGUCAACCUUGGCUGGUCAGUUUGCCAGGACCUUGGCAACCUCAGCUGUCCAUCAGAGAGGGAGUCAUCAUGGCUCCUCCAGGUGGUCUCAGAGUCCUAAGUCGAGAAGACCGCACGGUUUUCAUGAACAUGGUUGCGUGCCGUCCUGCUUGAUGCACCCCUGUGCUGUCCUCAGAACCUGCCAGCGUUAGGCUUCUCUCCAGGGCCACCAGUGAGUGCUGUCCCGCCUCUGCCCAGUGCUCUCAGUGUCUGUGGAAAGACACAGAGAGAAGACAGCCAGAAAGAGGACCCUCACAAGAACUCGGGCGUGCUGACAGCUGAAGCUUUGCCUUCCAGGCUCCAAACGGCAAGAGACCCAUUUCUACUGUGCGAGCCAUGCAGCCUUUCCCUUCCUCCUUGGCCUCUGCGUGACCCCCUGGAGUUUCACCUCAUGCCUGUACAAGUUAAUUAGCAGUAGACACCAGGGCACCCUGGAAGGACAUCAGAAAUUGCUCCUGGAGUCUCUUUUUGGUGCCUUAACACAAAAUUCUGGACACCUCACUGCCACCCUCAGCCAAGCCUCUCCAUCCUGAUGCACACUCUGGAGAGCGCCUCCCCCGGAAGACUUCACAGGGCCUGUCUCUCUUGUCUCCUUGCCUCCCCCCACCCCCCAAUCAGGAAUCACAGCCCCGAGUCUGCUGUCCACCAUCCAUAAGGUCUGUGUCUUCUACCAAGGCGUGUGGCUCUUCAGAACAAAGGAAAGUCCACUCUGGUUCUCUCACAGUCAAGACAACUGUCAAGGCCACAUGCCUGUGAGCUUAGUGUUCUGGGGGCUGAAUCAGGAGGAUUACAAGUUCAAGGCCAACCUGGGCAGUUCAGUGAGACCCUGUCAUAAGAUACCCUGUCAAACGUAAUAAGAGAAGAGAGAGGAGGCCGUAGUCCAGCAGCAGGGCGUGUGCCUAGCGUGCUCACAGCCCCGGAUCCUCUCUCUACCCCCCGAAAAGUGAAACAAAAGCACACAGCUGUUUCAUUUAUGCUCACGCGCACAUCAGCUAAACGCUGCACCAAGGGACAACACAUCCGCACAGAUGCACACCCCGGAAGUAGGGCUGGCUUUACACAGACAAGAACAGCUGCCGUCAGAGCGCAGGACAAACGCGAGCAUCCCCAGCACCCCAGAAGCCCAGUGCACAGGGCGACCAGCUCAGCCUGGCUUGGGUUGUUCUGUAUCAGGGCAUUCAAGGCAGUCUGUCCUUUGACCCUGGCUCCUUCAGGUCUUUCUGUGCUUUUUAACAUGCACCGAAUGCUACAUACAGCAGCGGCCGUCUUACUCGAGGAGAGCCAAUGUCCACACUGAGUACCUCUGGCUUGCAGCUACUGAAGGCCGCUCUAACAUCUAUGAACCUGAUGUGUGGUGUUUUGUGAGGAGGAGACCCAGCGGUGGGAGCACAGAGCAGUCUCUGCUCAGCUUGAGCAAACAAGGUACCACCUCACAAAGGAUGUGGCAUGGGACACACAUGUCUCUGCUGCCAGGUCACAUUUUCUCUCCUUUUUCUCUGGCCACUCCCUGCAGAGGUCAGGUCACAAGGUGAUCACAACUGGAGUCCUCCUGACAACCAACAACGUUAACCCUUUCUCCACCCGUGGGGUGCUGGGGUGCCUAAUUUGCUGAAGUUACAGCUUCCAUAUUUUUGCCUGUUUUGGAUUGAUUUGCAUCACCUCUGUUUUUUAAGAAAAGGCUGCGUUUGGGGUUUCUCAUUCUGAGCAUGUGUCUUUUGUCAGGCAGGAGUGUUGUGAGCCCGGUCCUUCUGUUUUGGUUUGGUUUGGUUUGGUUUGUUUUUUUGUUUUUGUUUUUUUUGGCCUCACUGUGCCUCUGGGCUAGCAUCCCUUUGAUCAGCACUCCCAUUUGGACAGCACCACCGAAUCAGUUUCAGUUCAGUUUCCCCCAGCCCGCUCCAUUUUGAGCCAUCUCCGCAUCAGGAUGAUCCUGAGCUACGGCCCUGCACCACGAGCUCUUCCUACCCUUUGUUUCAGCCCCAUCUUGACAGGCAGGCCUUUCCUCCCCUGUCUACAUCAUUGAUAAGAGUAUCAGACAAUGCAGGACUGAUGUCAGUCCCCCGUGGCGCUGCAGACCUCCCCGCAGGGUUACACGGGGCCAUUAGCUGACGCCUUUGUCUAUAAUUAUAUACAACAGGCAACAUUCACUUAGCAGAUCAUCUGGGAUGCGUUUCCCAUUUCAUCCUCAAGAACCACACGGCAGACUCUGCCAAUGCCUGCUGAAGUCACCGCAAUCACCGGUCCCUCUUCUACAGGCUAAGGACCGUGACAAGGAGAGACAAGGAGGAUCCCAGCCGGAUGGUGCUGCUUCCCUUCAGAGUGGCUCCUCCCUCCUCAGCUAAGUCCCUCGGGAAAUGCCCUCACAGAGCACACACGUGCCUCUAGGUAAUCCCAAGUGCAGUCAAGUUGUUGCUAAAGUGAACCAUAUCCCCUGGACCCUCCUUUGCAGUGCCUCAGAGACAGAGGGGCUCACUGCCUCUCAGCCACAGCCUGGAGGUUCCCAGAACCUAUGACAUCAGACAGCAGCCCUAGGGCCUCAGCUCUGGAGUCCCACACACCAUCACAAGUGCUGGGGUACUGACUAGGUGCCUAGCUCUAAGAGAUUCAUGUGUCCUGUGCAACGGUCUCACAACGGCACACAUUUAUCAGAACAGAGCAGGAGCCUCUCUGCUGUAGAUACCUGGUAUCUCACAAGCCCCUCCAUCUCCUUAGAAGCCAGGAUCCCACCAUGUCCCUGUGGUCACCAUCUUGACAUUGCUUGUCACCUUCAAGCAUAGCCACCAUUUAUGGCUUUGCCCAGGCUCUGGCACAAAGGAUGCUCAGCUCUGCAUUGCCCCACACUGCACCCUCUUAGCUGGCACAGCUUCAGUCCCAGGUCCUGUAUUUUCCAGCCCUACAGGGCUCCUCUGGCUUCUGUGUCCCCGUCUACUGGAUGGAUAGGAUCAUUGCUGUCUAGCCUUGGCUGCCUCAUGCCUCCGCUUCUAGACACCCCUAGGGGACAUUGGCCACACAGGUCUGUAACCAGCAAACCCUCCUGGCCAGUCUAAGCCAAAGCCACAUCCCCUCUCUCCCACUGAGUCCUCUCCAAGGCAGACACCCUGGCUCUAUUGCAUACUCAGGAAAGCAAUUUCUUCUCUACCAGCCUUUGCAUAUCAGGUAGGAGGAUCUGAGUCACUGUCCCCAAUCAGUCCGUGGGUCUGGAGCCUGAGGCGGCAACAGAAAGGUGUGACAGGACAAGGACCCUGAAAUAGGGAUAGUCCUAGAUGUGGUCAUAGUGUCCCAGGAAAGAGGCAGGAGGGUCAGAGUCCAGAGGACACAGGAAGGAGCUAUCAGAGGACAGACCUGUGGUGCUGGCUUUGAAAAUGGGGAAGAUGCCAGAGUGUAGGCACCUCCAGGAGCAGAAAAUACCAACCGGGAAGACCUGAGGCCUAGUCAGGGUCACUGCCUUGGAGCCUUUUGAGAUGGGGUGAUUUUAGGUUAGAGUAGAGUGUACCUCCAUACUGACCUUUAUGGGACCCUCUUGGGAGUCUGAGGAUUUUGUCUUAGAGACAUCUAUCUAGCAGUCCCUUGAAAAAACAGUGUCUCUGCUUGAGAACACAGAAGACACCUGUACCCAAAGGGCUGUGUUGAGAAUCUUAGACAGUGACCAGGAGGAGGGGGAUACCCAAAAGCCCUGCCCAUCCUCUUCCCAUCCCUCCUGCCCUUGAGCAGUUGGAGAUGCCCCCUGGGUAUCCCCUCAUCCCUGCAUUCCAGAGAGGGGCCAAGUCAGACUCAGAUGUGGCUUCACUGCCUGAUGCCGCUGGUUCCACGGGAAGGCUUAAUUGACGCAGCAAAACAAACAUUUGCUUUGGUGAUC